rnacentral:rRNA from 1 species
UGUCUGGGGAUGGGCCUGCGGCUGAUUAGCUAGUUGGUGAGGGUAAUGGCCCACCAAGGCGAGGAUCAGUAGCUGGCCUGAGAGGGCGGCCGGCCACAUUGGGACUGAGACACGGCCCAGACUCCUACGGGAGGCAGCAGUGAGGAAUCUUCUGCAAUGGGCGCAAGCCUGACAGAGCAACGCCGCGUGGAGGAAUAAGGCCACUCAAGGCUGUAAACUCCUUUGCACGGGCACAGGAAGGCUGACCGCCCGGGAAGCAAGCAUCGGCUAACUCCGUGCCAGCAGCCGCGGUAAUACGGGGGAUGCAAGCGUUAUCCGGAUUUACUGGGCGUAAAGCGUCUGUAGGCGGUUCGGUGUGUCUGUUGUCAAAACGCAGGGCCUAACUCUGUGGGGCAUCUGGAUACUAUCGAACUAGAGGGCGGUAGAGGUGGGGGGAACCCCUCGAGGAGCAGUGAAAUGCUUUGAUACGUGGAGGAAGGCCGGAGGCGAANGCUCCCCACUGGGCCGCACCUGACGCUGAGAGACGAAAGCUAGGGGAGCGAAUGAGAUUAGAUACCCCAGUAGUC